rnacentral:rRNA from 2 species
GAUUGAACGCUGGCGGCAGGCCUAACACAUGCAAGUCGAACGGUAACAGGAAGAAGCUUGCUUCUUUGCUGACGAGUGGCGGACGGGUGAGUAAUGUCUGGGAAACUGCCUGAUGGAGGGGGAUAACUACUGGAAACGGUAGCUAAUACCGCAUAACGUCGCAAGACCAAAGAGGGGGACCUUAGGGCCUCUUGCCAUCGGAUGUGCCCAGAUGGGAUUAGCUAGUAGGUGGGGUAAAGGCUCACCUAGGCGACGAUCCCUAGCUGGUCUGAGAGGAUGACCAGCCACACUGGAACUGAGACACGGUCCAGACUCCUACGGGAGGCAGCAGUGGGGAAUAUUGCACAAUGGGCGCAAGCCUGAUGCAGCCAUGCCGCGUGUAUGAAGAAGGCCUUCGGGUUGUAAAGUACUUUCAGCGGGGAGGAAGGUGUUGUGGUUAAUAACCACAGCAAUUGACGUUACCCGCAGAAGAAGCACCGGCUAACUCCGUGCCAGCAGCCGCGGUAAUACGGAGGGUGCAAGCGUUAAUCGGAAUUACUGGGCGUAAAGCGCACGCAGGCGGUCUGUCAAGUCGGAUGUGAAAUCCCCGGGCUCAACCUGGGAACUGCAUUCGAAACUGGCAGGCUUGAGUCUCGUAGAGGGGGGUAGAAUUCCACGUGUAGCGGUGAAAUGCGUAGAGAUCUGGAGGAAUACUCGGUGGCGAAGGCGGCCCCUGGACGAAGACUGACGCUCAGGUGCGGAAGCGUGGGGAGCAAACAGGAUUAGAUACCUGGUAGUCCACGCUGUAAACGAUGUCUAUUUGGAGGUUGUGCCCCUGAGGUGUGGCUUCCGGAGCUAACGCGUUAAAUAGACCGCCUGGGGAGUACGGCCGCAAGGUUAAAACUCAAAUGAAUUGACGGGGGCCCGCACAAGCGGUGGAGCAUGUGGUUUAAUUCGAUGCAACGCGAAGAACCUUACCUGGUCUUGACAUCCACAGAACUUUCCAGAGAUGGAGGGGUGCCUUCGGGAACUGUGAGACAGGUGCUGCAUGGCUGUCGUCAGCUCGUGUUGUGAAAUGUUGGGUUAAGUCCCGCAACGAGCGCAACCCUUAUCCUUUGUUGCCAGCGGUUAGGCCGGGAACUCAAAGGAGACUGCCAGUGAUAAACUGGAGGAAGGUGGGGAUGACGUCAAGUCAUCAUGGCCCUUACGACCAGGGCUACACACGUGCUACAAUGGCGCAUACAAAGAGAAGCGAACUCGCGAGAGCAAGCGGACCUCAUAAAGUGCGUCGUAGUCCGGACUGGAGUCUGCAACUCGACUCCAUGAAGUCGGAAUCGCUAGUAAUCGUGGAUCAGAAUGCCACGGUGAAUACGUUCCCGGGCCUUGUACACACCG